CGCGUAGGUGGUAGUGUAAGUCUGGGGUGGAAUCCCAGGGCUCAACCCUGGAACUGCCUUGGAAACUGCAUUACUUGAGUCAGUGAGGGGAGGGUAGAAUUCCUGGUGUAGCGGUGAAAUGCGUAGAUAUCAGGAGGAAGGCCUGUGGCAAAGGCGGCCCUCUGGCGCUGGACUGACACUGAGGCGCGAAAGCGUGGGGAGCAAACAGGAUUAGAUACCCUGGUAGUCCACGCCCUAAACGGUGGGCACUAGGUGUAGGGCUCGUAAGGGUUCUGUGCCGAAGGGAAACCAUUAAGUGCCCCGCCUGGGGAGUACGGCCGCAAGGUUGAA
rnacentral:rRNA from 1 species